UUCCUAGGGGGGCAGCAGUGGGGAAUAUUGCACAAUGGGGGAGACCCUGAUGCAGCGACGCCGCGUGAGUGAAGAAGUAUUUCGGUAUGUAAAGCUCUAUCAGCAGGGAAGAGAAUGACGGUACCUGACUAAGAAGCCCCGGCUAACUACGUGCCAGCAGCCGCGGUAAUACGUAGGGGGCAAGCGUUAUCCGGAUUUACUGGGCGUAAAGGGAGCGUAGACGGCGCGGCAAGUCCGAAGUGAAAGGCAGGGGCUUAACCCCUGAACUGCUUUGGAAACUGCCAUGCUAGAGUGCAGUAGAGGUA
rnacentral:rRNA from 1 species